CCUGAGAAACCCAAAAGAUCGAAUGGGGAGAUUCAUCGUCAGCUCAUUUUGUAUAUGUAUAAGUUAUGAUGCGGGUUACUACUUGUAGUAUUGCCUGCACAUUCUUGUAUAUUUAGUUGCAAGGUGUUGUCGGCGUGCACUUCUCCCCUAGUAGGACGUCGCGACCUGUUGGGUGUCGGUCUACGGCCCAAGUGAUAGCCUUUAAUGUAAUUUAAAAAC
rnacentral:rRNA from 1 species